rnacentral:lncRNA from 1 species
AGGUCCAAGUUUGUAGUCAUUGCCAAUCCAUAAAAAAUAGUCCAUAACUCAACUAAUAUGGAACAAUGACAAGUCUUCUUGAAAAAGUUGGAAUGAAAAUGCUGUUAGAGUUGCAAAUGACAGCUUUGCAAGACCGCUGUACCCUAGAGAUAUGAUUCAUCACAAUUUAAGUUUAAAGAAUCUCUCGUUAGGCUUCUUUCACUUUGCAGACUUAUCACGAUGAGUCAUGUUCUCAUCAUUGAGAAGCAAAUUUGGACUUCCUUGCUUCUCUAUGGUUACGCAUUUUUGCUGGAAAACCAUCUCAUUCCUCUUCCACCAAAAUUUGUUUAAACAAGACUCCAAUGUGAACUAUCAGUGCAUACGGUGUUUCACAAGUUUCUACUUAGCCAAUCAUGAACAGUGGAGUACCUUGAUGUCAGAAAAAAAAAGUGUAAAAUAAAUGGAUAAUUAAUGAUGAAAGUAUAAAAAGAAAAAAAGAAAAAAAUUUGAUAUUUUGAAUUGAGGGGGAGGAAGAAGAAUAUAAGUAGUGGGAUUUUGAGAGAGAGAGAGAGACUGAUAGCAAUAACAACCUAUGAAGCACCGACACGGUCACCGGACACGACACAGACACAUGUAAUGUUCAAAAUAUAGAACAUGAUACGGGUGUCGUGUCAGUGUUGAACACUGAUACAAACGCGUGUCGAACACCGGACACGACAAGAAACUAGAGUGUCCGUGCUUCAUAGAUAACAACACAACAGGUCACAUACCAGAAGCCAGCAAUCAUAUUAACAGGCCAAGGAGAAUCACAAAGAAGCCCAAAUACCUUGAGGAAUACCUUUGAAGUGCAAAAGCAAAAGUUACCAAGUUGGUUGCAGCAUUCCACUACUUUCAGAAAGCUAAUUCCAAUUCUGUUAUAACAAAGUUAAUUCAGUUAGAAUACAGUAGUAUAAA